rnacentral:rRNA from 1 species
UGAUCCUGGCUCAGGAUGAACGCUGGCGGCGUGCUUAACACAUGCAAGUCGAACGGUGAAGCCAAGCUUGCUUGGUGGAUCAGUGGCGAACGGGUGAGUAACACGUGAGCAACCUGCCCUGGACUCUGGGAUAAGCGCUGGAAACGGCGUCUAAUACUGGAUAUGAGCUCUCAUCGCAUGGUGGGGGUUGGAAAGAUUUUUCGGUCUGGGAUGGGCUCGCGGCCUAUCAGCUUGUUGGUGAGGUAAUGGCUCACCA